CGUCAAGUCAUCAUGCCCCUUAUGUCCAGGGCUUCACGCAUGCUACAAUGGCCGGUACAGAGGGUUGCCAAGCCGCGAGGUGGAGCUAAUCCCAUAAAACCGAUCGUAGUCCGGAUCGCAGUCUGCAACUCGACUGCGUGAAGUCGGAAUCGCUAGUAAUCGUGAAUCAGAAUGUCACGGUGAAUACGUUCCCGGGCCUU
rnacentral:rRNA from 1 species